rnacentral:lncRNA from 10 species
GGCAAGCUGCUGGGCUUCCCUUCCACAUUGUGGAAGCUUUGUUCUUUUGCUCUUUGCGAUAAAUCUUGCCCCUGCUCACUCUUUGGGUCCACACUGCCUUUAUGAGCUGUAACGCCACGAAGGUCUGCAGCUUCACGAACCCAUCGGGAGGAACGAACAAUUCCAGACGCGCUGCCUUAAGAGCUGUAACACUCACCGCGAAGGUCCGCAGCUUCGCUCCUGAGCCAGCGAGACCACGAACCCACCAGAAGGAAGAAACUCCGAACACAUCCCAACAUCAGAAGAAACAAACUCCAAACACAUCCGAACAUCAGAAGGAACAAACUCCAGACGCGCCACCUUAAGAGCUGUAACACCGCGAGGGUCCGCGGCUUUAUUCUUGAAGUCAGUGAGACCAAGAACCCACCAGUUCCGGACACAAUACUUUUCACACUGCAUGAUGAAGAAAUUUAGCUUUAUUGUUAGGUGUUGAUCAUUAUGCUUUGGAAUGGAACAAAGAGAAAAGAUGAGACUCAAGAAAGUCAUUGUUUCUCUUAGUAAUGAGAAGGAAAAAGUGAAGUGAAACUUAACAGCGAAUGUGAGAGUUUUUGAUUGCCUGUGGGCUUUCAUUUUUUCUUUCCAUCUGGACCUACUAAUUGAGAUAAUAGGUCAGGGAGACCUGGGUCUGUAUUGGUAGGUAUGAUUGGAUGGGCCCCAAGGAACUUCACUUUAUUUUAGAAUUAGGAGCUCAUAGAUGAGGUAACUUGAUUUGACCUUUGCCUUCAUUCUCUUUAUCUUGAGGUGACCCCAGUAGAGUCUGCCUUUAGCGGUCUCCUUGGGUCUUUGAUAAACAAAGCAGUUAGGGCUGAAUGAGCUGUGAAAUGAAUAAGGGAAUAUUGAUGCCCCACUAUUUAAUUGCCUCCUAAAUCCAUGGUAAAUUUUUCAGUGAUUUUAAACUCUGUAAGAAUAGCAGACUCAUUGAUUUCUGUAAUUCAUUUAUUUAGGGAUUUCUAUUAUCAACUGAAUUUGAUUGAUGGCUUUAUGACAAAUAGCUGUGUGCUCAGCAUAUACCAGCAUUCUGUAAGCUCACUCAGCCAUAAACAAUUUGUGAAUAAUUCUUGGGUCCUUUUGCUGAGUCUGUACUUUGCUAUUUAGGGAACAACUGAUUGAGAUUCCUUAGGUGAAUGAGGUAAAGUGAAAUUCCCACCUAGUUUGCUUGGAUAUAUAUAUGUAGUGUGUGUGUGUGUGUGUGUGUGUAUUUGUAUGUGGACCCUGAGAAUUCUCAAAGUCCUCUUUGAGAUUCUGAGGCAUUUUACUCUCAAACGUCAAGCCCCGUCUCAUGAUUCAGAAUACAUCAGAAUCACUUGGACACGGAAAUAGUGGUAUCCUAUGUGUGCUGUGAUAAUUGAGCCCUUCUCUAACUCUGUCUACCCAGACAUAAGAUAUAGUAGGUAGUGAUGUUAUAUGUUCAUCAAAAAUUAAAAUGGAUCCCCAUACAUCUUUUUAGUCUGUUCUUCUUGUUAAAGAUUUUGAUUCGCAACUUCCUCAUGGAUAGAAAACAAGUGUAAUUUCUAUUUUAGAGAAAAUCAGAUUUUAUAAGACACCAGACUUGAAAACUUCUUUGCCAGUGAGAUAUUUUUGACUAUAAAUAUUGCUUCCAGAUUAAUGGAAAAUUGUGGCAUGUAUUUUAAAAUCCUCUUCGUGAUUUUCCUGAUUAUAAAUCAAUUUAUCUAUAUUAGAAAAAUUGAAAAAUAAAAAAUGUAAAGAAGGAAAUAAAAUUACCAAUAAAACUACUAACCAGAAUCACCACUAUUACAUUUCUAGUUAUAAUAGUCAUUUUAACUAAAUAAUUUUCUUCUUAGAACAGUACACAGGCAAAGGUUAUUAUUUAGCAAAGGUUAAUACUGGUCAUAAUGAUGAGGCUUUUGUAUUUUUGCUAUUUACCUAAGAUGGGCAAGCGAGUGUAGAGAUUGAGUCAGAAGCUGGGUCAGGGACACUGUACCAAGUUGGACAAGUGUGUGGCUGAACGGAGCACCAGGCUCCCUUUACCUAUUGUGGAUGAGACAUAAAACUUUUACUACAAUCUGCAGAGAAAGACAACUGGGACAAAUUAAAGUUUGACUUUAAUCUCACAUUUGGUUUUAUAACUUAUAAAUUCACUAAUAAAAGUUUCAGCUGUCUAAAAUAAAAUGAACCUGCAAAGAAGCAAUACUGAGAGAGAUUAGAAAAUUAUGCUGUCUUUCCAGAUAUAUCGCAUGAAAAUAUUUCUCUUGGAGUAUGACGAUUAGA